CCACCCCCAAGCAUGUGUAAAGACAUCUGAAGUGUCUAACAAACAAUGACUUAGAGGUCAGACUGCUAUCUUUCCUGCUUCCAAGAUAGGAAUUAGGGAGAUGGGGUCAUACUCCAGUGUGCCAGGCUACCAAAUUUCUCUUAGACCCCAGAAGCCACCCCAUUUAAAUACCUCAGAGUUUUGUCUGCAAGACCAUGAGAAAUUCUUCUGCAGUUUGGUAGGACCUCCAAAAGCUGAGGUUUUGAGUGAAAGCAAAGAUGAAAAGCUCUAAAAUCCCCCAUUGUCCUUUUUCCUUCCAUACAUUCUGAACUGGUCAGUGGGUUGGAUCCUCAGCAGUGGAAAGCAUCCUUGUCCUUCUGUUCUCAAUGGACCUAUGCUAGUUUAUGCCAGCUCCAGAUCUGGCCCAAAGACUCUAUAAAAACACAGAGUCUGAUGCCAGCCAGACAGCUAACACUAGGGAAAUGCAGUUCUCCUGCCAUCAGUAUCUCUCACCACACACAGGGCCCCUGGAGAUUUAUAGUGCUACCAGCUCUUCCUGCUGUGCAUUUUCAAAUGAAAAUGGAAGUAUUUGGCUUUUAGAAAAAUCAUUCAAACUUCCCAUAGGGCAGAUUUUAUUACUGUUAAAACAUUUGGGUCCUACACUGCAGCCUUCCCUUGCUGAAAGAGCACAUGCUGUGCUGAUGAAUAGGUAGCAUCUUGGCUAACCCUCAUUCAGACCAAUACUACUGGUUAUAUUCUGUAGAUUUUGAAUACUGGGCUCCCAUUACCUUAGACUUGGAAGCUAGCUCCAUAGGGAGACCAGGCCUUCCACCAAUAACCCAAACACAUUCAGUUUUUUUAUCCUUACUUUUCUUUAUCACAACAUUACAGGCUGCAGGAGAAAUACAUAACGUACAUAAUAUUCCAGAUACAAAUAUCUUCAUGAGAUCUCCAGAACCUCAAUCAAGGGCCGAAUCUGCACACCCAGAGCUAACUUGCAUCUGAGAGGAGGUGCUCCUAAGUCCCCAUCUGAUUCCUGACAGAGAAUCUAUGAUGAAGGUUUGCCAUCCACACUACAGAAUUUUUUUAAGAUAGCUACUAAUGCUAAAAUAUAAUCACCACAGGCUUAGGGCUGCUGCAGGUAAUCCUUUCUUCUGCAGUUGUAAUAGGCUAGGCAGUGAAAUAACACCAUAAACAUACUCAGCUUCACUAUCAGGGGAUGCAGGACUCACAGGAGGUCACUAUCAGGGGAUGCAGACCUGAGGUCACAGGUAUCUCAGCUUGUCCAUGUGGGAAAGCUGGAGUGCAGUAAAUUAGGGUGCACAGUUACAACACACUAACUGCUGCACACAAACUCUGAAACAAGAGUACCCAGCCUCAUGCUAAGAAUGUCUGCACAAGGACUUGGGACAGAGCAGCUACUUCAUUGGACACUGAUUUCCCUGUAUAGACCCUUCAAGAGCCUGGCAUGAGCUGAAGCAGGAGAGGAGUCACUCUGACUUGCCAUGCGGACAACCACAACCAAGACACAGGAUUUAGUAUUAAAGAUCCAUAGUUUGUACCUGACCAAUAAUGUGUAAGAUCCCUUCUCAAGGAUGCGUUGUAAGACCCCAAAGCAGUUUGCUUCAUUUAAUUGCAGACACAUUUACUUAUCUAGGGACCACAGCAGGGGCCAGAGUAUCAGGAUUCCUGGGUUCUUUCCCUGGCUCUAGCAGUGACUUGCUGUGUGGCUUCAGCUCUACUUCAAAAUGAAGAUCUCAGCAUCAUCUGCUUCCUGGUGUAGGGAGGUUUUUGAAGUACUCCCAAUUGCGCAUAAAUGAUAAAGAUCAGCAGGCUGAUUUUUCAUUGCUCUACAUCACAAAUAUUCAUUUACAUCCAUGAAAGAUAAAUGCACAGUUCUUGUACUGACAGUGUUUUUACCCUUACUUAGCCCUGUGAACAACAUAUGAUAAUGGAGAAUUAAGCCCCAAGGAUUCAAUGUUGAAUGGCUAAUGUGUUAUAAUGUAACUAUGUUAUAAUGUUUAACAUAAGCUUGAUGCAUGCUGUCACAGUGAAGUAUAUGCCUUAGUCAUUUAAAAACAUUUCUAUCCCAUCUGAUUUCAUCAUCUUUUCCUCUGUGCUCCUGGUUGCAGGCCACAGACCUAGGAGGGAAGGAUGUGUCAAAGAAGUGAACCGAUGACUCUGGCAGUUGUGCUACCAAGAGGGCUUCAAUUUCUUUGACCACAGUGCAAUUUCAGGGAGAGACGACUCCUGGGAAGGGAUGGCAUCCACCUAAUGCAGAGGGGUAAGUCCCUGUUUUCAGCCAGGAUGGCCCAUCUUUUAGAUAGGGCCUUAAACUAAGAUUGCUAGGGGACAGGGAAACACUGACUGAAACAUGCCUGGAGGCCGGCACACAAGUUCUCUUCCUCCUGGUGUUGUCUUCCUGAGCACUGAGAUGUAAGACAGCAGCUAGCAUUACAGUAUAAAUGUGCUUCAGACCUCCUCACUCCCAGGAGGCUUUGAAGGAUUUUGUGACAUCUCCAUACAAAGAAUCAUGCAAAGCCAAAGGGCUGAACCUGUACCAUUCAUAUGCUACAGGUAUAAUAUAUUCACUGAAGUAGCUGAAUGCUAUUAUUACUCAACAACCUUGGCUGAAAUAGAGUAAGGCACAUUCUUGGGCCCUGAAACUCCUAGCUGACAUUAGGAGAUGCACCAGAUCAGAGGCAGGCUGCCCUGGCUGACCAGAA